CUUGCUCUCAGCGCAUUAGGGUUUUUAUGUCUCUCUAGGGUCAUUCCGGUCAUAACAGUAUCGCCAAGUCCAUCUAUAUAACCAUCACUGGCCCUUCAACGAUAUUCAAACCAAUGCUCUCUCCCUCUAAUUUUAGGGUUUCUGUCACAUUGCAUCUCCUCGUUAUAUCGAACCAGAGGUGGUCUUGGUGCUUCGUUCUGGGGUAUCUUGUUCUUGCUCUAGGGUUUCUCCUCAACAAUACUUUCAUGUUUGACGGAUUUCUUAAGGGAAGUUUCAGACGCCAUGGUUCCUGUUCUUCCCAAACAAUCGACAAGCCAAGGACAACACCCUGUUGAGUCACUCGAAGGUGAUCUUUGGUGGCCAUGGAUUAAGAGUUUCAGACCAGGGCAAGCAAUUUGUUGGGGGACCUCAUGGGAAACCAAUGAAGAAAUCCUUAAAGAUCACUUCUAAGCAAUGUGGUUAAGUUCUUGAUUCACUUAUCACUUCAAGCCAUGGAUUCAGACAAGGGCCCAACACACUCCUGAAGUCGUCCUCUUUUGCUCUCAAACCCAUUGGUUGGUGUUGAGCUCUACACUGAUAGCAAAAAGUAGAGGUAGAGAGAGAGAGAGAGAGAGAAGAGAGACUAUGGAGUUCAUAAGGGAACCGUUCUAUAGAUAUUACAGAGAGAGAGGGAUGGGGUAUUUUUUGUGGGAUGGGGUUCAAAAGGAAACCGUUGUAGAGAGAGAUGUAGUGUUUUUGUGUGUGUUGGGGGUGGGGAAGCAUAUAGUGGUUGGGUGGCCACGUGAUGGAUUCAAAAACCCUUUUUAGGUUUAAAAAAAGAGUGUUUUUUUUAAGAGAUGUUGGAAGAGGGGGGUCAUAUGCCUUUUUAAAGGCGUUUGGUUCCCAUAAUCCAUUUUCAGGCCGGUUACAUGAUUCUAAAUGGAUUAUUGGUGGGCUUUUGGGUGGGUAUUCAGCCCAUAUAUAUAUAUAUA